rnacentral:rRNA from 1 species
UACGUAGGGUGCGAGCGUUGCCCGGAUUUAUUGGGCGUAAAGGGCGCGUAGGCGGCCACGCACGUCCGUUGUGAAAUCGCCCGGCUCAACUGGGCGGGGUCGGCGGAUACGGCGUGGCUGGAGCAAGCUAGGGGGCAAUGGAAUUCCCGGUGUAGUGGUGGAAUGCGUAGAUAUCAGGAGGAACACCGGUGGCGAAGGCGGGUCUCUGGGUAGUAACUGACGCUGAGGAGCGAAAGCAUGGGGAGCGAACAGG